rnacentral:rRNA from 1 species
CCUACGGGUGGCUGCAGUGGGGAAUUUUGGACAAUGGGCGCAAGCCUGAUCCAGCAAUGCCGCGUGCAGGAUGAAGGCCUUCGGGUUGUAAACUGCUUUUGUACGGAACGAAAAGGUCCUAGUUAAUACCUGGGGCCCAUGACGGUACCGUAAGAAUAAGCACCGGCUAACUACGUGCCAGCAGCCGCGGUAAUACGUAGGGUGCAAGCGUUAAUCGGAAUUACUGGGCGUAAAGCGUGCGCAGGCGGUUAUAUAAGUCAGAUGUGAAAUCCCCG